AGCGAACGCUGGCGGCAUGCUUAACACAUGCAAGUCGCACGAACCUUUCGGGGUUAGUGGCGGACGGGUGAGUAACGCGUAGGAAUCUGUCCACGGGUGGGGGAUAACUCUGGGAAACUGGAGCUAAUACCGCAUGAUACCUGAGGGUCAAAGGCGCAAGUCGCCUGUGGAGGAGCCUGCGUUCGAUUAGCUAGUUGGUGGGGUAAAGGCUUACCAAGGCGAUGAUCAGUAAUUGGUUUGAGAGGAUGAUCAAUCACAUUGGAACUGAGACACGGCCCAGACUCCUACGGGAGGCAGCAGUGGGGAAUAUUGGACAAUGGGGGCAACCCUGAUCCAGCAAUGCCGCGUGUGUGAAGAAGGUCUUCGGAUUGUAAAGCACUUUCGACGGGGACGAUGAUGACGGUACCCGUAGAAGAAGCCCCGGCUAACUUCGUGC
rnacentral:rRNA from 1 species